rnacentral:misc_RNA from 1 species
UUCAAACGGAUCACUGCCAGCAUGAAUAUAAACUGCUUGAUUAAAUGCUGAUCCAACAGUGUCCUUAUCGCCACUUUCAAGGCAUAAUUCGAGCUCGUCUUCAGCAUUACCCUGAAGAACAGCUCGAAAUGAACCUUCAAUUAAUGGAAGGAAAACAGCAUACACAAUAUUAUCAUCAUUUUUGUUGUCGUUGGAUCCGAGAUGAGAUCCAUCUGUUGUUUCAACAAGAAGAAAUUGUGUUUCCAUUGGGAUUUCACUUCCCUUAUCACCCAUUUUCUGAGCCAUCCACCAUAACUUGAACCUGAAACAAGACAAGAACCGAACAUCCUGUAAUUUCCCGAGAGGCACAACAUGGCGGUUGUUGUCUUGAUCAAAUUCUGCACCAAGAAAUACACCCUCUAAUGGACCUGAUGCAGCACCGGGAGUGGUGAGUACGUUGUCGGGUACAUUUGUUAAUAUUGUUCUGUCUUUCACCAUCAGUUUUCUGUCAGAAAUCCUUAUCGCUGGAGUAAUCGUCAUGGCAGCGUCAACUACUGUUUUUGCUGCUGCUUCCUCCUCUUCUAGCCCUUUCUCAAAUUCUACUUCACUUCCUUUGUGAGCAAGAACUGAAGUGGUAGGUGAUGAAACAGAGAAUUGUAAAGGGUUACUAUAUUUGUUGAAUGAGUAUGAAAAAUGGGUUGUUGUAGAAGAGAAGAAUGAUGGGAUUUUGGGG